CCUACGGGUGGCAGCAGUCGAGAAUCAUUCACAAUGGGGGAAACCCUGAUGGUGCGACGCCGCGUGGGGGAAUGAAGGUCUUCGGAUUGUAAACCCCUGUCAUGUGGGAGCAAAUUAAACAGAUCGUACCACAAGAGGAAGCGCCGGCUAACUCUGUGCCAGCAGCCGCGGUAAUACAGCGGUCUCAAGAGGUGUUCGGAAUCACUGGGCGUAAAGCGUGCGUAGGCUGUUUCGUAAGUCGUGUGUGAAAGGCGCGGGCUCAACCCGCGGACGGCACAUGAUACUGCGAGACUAGAGUAAGGGAGGGGGAACCGGAAUGCUCGGUGUAGCAGUGAAAUGCGUAGAUAUCGAGAAGAACACUCGUGGCGAAGGCGG
rnacentral:rRNA from 1 species